rnacentral:tmRNA from 1 species
GGGGGCGAAACGGUUUCGACGGGGGCAUAGAGGCAAGAAUAGCGGGCGGAGGCGUCACCCUCCUUAAAAUGACAACCUUAUAAAUUAAAGAACAACAGAAAUUCUUUACCUGUAGCCGCAUAAGGCUACCGUCUUCGCCGGAAGGACCACGAGCCGGAUGAGGGCGUCGAUUAGUGGUGCACGUGAGUGCGCAAAGCUUUGAGCGCACCAUGCAUAAUGAAGCUACCAAGCCCCUGAGUGUGACGGUUCACGCCUGGGUAAGGGAAUGUAAAUAACCGUCUGCGCCCGGAGAAUUUUUUGUUAAAGUGCUUUCGGACGGGGGUUCAACUCCCCCCGCCUCCACCA